ensembl:lncRNA
AAAGCCUGGGGAGGGGGUAAGAAGGGUCCUCAGAUGGGAAUGGGUGCCAGUUAGUACCCUUGAACCUCUGCUUCUGAGCCAUCCAACUCACCCUAGCCUUCAACACAUUUUGGGAUCAAUUGGGGAACAAUUUCCCUUUUGACUUUUCCCCUCUCUCCCUGCUCUCACUUCUAUCUACACCAUCUUCCUAAUCUACACACCCCCACACACACUUCCUUCCAAUCCAUUCUGGGCUUUUCCUGACUUUCCUGUCUGAGGGUGAGCAUCCUAGCCCAUAAUUCCCUUCAUACCAUCAGAUGCUCCAGUGCCUUCCAUCCCCCUGGGGCUUGGCACCCACACCUGGGUGACCUCAUGCCAGUGGUGCCAGCCACGUUUCUUGCUGCCUCUCCUUGCAACCUUCCAUCCUGGUAACUGCUGCCUGGGCGGGGGGGGGGGUGCGGUACAAGAGUGGAAGGUCCAAUUUCCAUGUCCCACAAACACCUCCCCUCCACUCCAAAGCAAGCAUGUGUUUGUUUACCUGUCCUUCCUCUUCACCACACCAUCUUCAACUUGGCUCUUGUGCCCUAGGAGAUGGGGGAAGAGUUUCCUCCAAUGGGAGCUGCUGUUUACAAACACACAAGACUGCAUUCCUCAUCCCCCCUUGACUUUGGGUCCCACCAGGUCAGGGGAGCCAGCCCCCAGUAGUGAGAACUGUACUGCGAGUUUUGAUUUGGUUCCCACUCAAGGUUUGAUCCCAAGGUCCCCUGUGUUGUGGUUGUUGUCUGAUCCUUUUGUUGUUGUUGAUAUUGGGUAAGCUACCUCAUGGCUGGGCCUGGGCUUUGCUGUAUGUGAGUGUGCUGGCUUUCCAGAAACUUGAAAUCCUGUUGAGCAACUUGAGGCCCUGACUAAUGUGGUCACUCCAUCCCACUGGGCAGCUGAGCUUGGAGAAAGUUGGGUCUCUCCGUGCUUUCUUGAAGGAGGGUUGAGAGGCACAGGCUUUGGGUCUGAGCUAGAGAGCAAGGAUUGCAACUUCACAAGUAUUUAUAAGUGUUUGAAGUGUUAUAAGCACAAAAUGAUUGUAUUCUGAGCACAAGGGCCCUAGAGCCUGAGCACAAGCCCUAGAAUGAGGAAGCUUUAACCCAGUUUUAGAACACAGGAUGACCAGGCCACUAGACCUACCUCUGAGUUCCCAUCCUUUUUCUGUCCUCAGUCCCUCUGGGCAGAGAAGAAGACAUGUAAUGGCCAACAUGUCCUGCUCUAGGCAAGAGAAUUUGCCAAACUUGCCCUGGCUCCCUUCCCUUAGGUCAACCCCAGGGGCUAUGCCAUAGGGAAGGCAGUCAUCCUAUCCUACUUGGUCCAUUCAGUCUGUCAGUGCCCACUCUGCCCUGGAAUUGGGAAGCCCUAUUCCUUUGGGAAUUCAUCAGAGGUAGUUAUAUAAAGGCCAGAAAGGUGGGUCAUGCCAGUAAGCCUGGGGCAUGGGGACAUGAGACCCUCGUCCUUGUCAUCCCCUAAGAACUCAAGAGAUUAGAACUCUGAGCCCAUGGCUAUCCCCAGACGUUGGCCUCAAAGCCUUUCCGUCUCUAGCCCAAAAUGAUUCAUGGGCCCAUCAAGUCUCCUGGGUUAGGGCUCUUAACUAGGGCAAAGAUUCUCAAGCACAGUAUUAUUGUCCUUUAUAGUAUUUACUCUCUAAGCUAGUGGCAACUCUGUCCUGAGCAAGCUUUUCCACAAUAGACCUUGGAGUUAGCACUGGAGAGGUGGCAGAGUCAGCAGGAGAGUGCUGAUGCCAGGAGUUUUCAUUUGCAGGAAAUGGGACCUCCCCCUGCAAUGAAGGUGAGACUUGGAAGGGACCUUCAUAGCCAUUUCUUCUCAUACUCUAAUGUGGUCCCCGCUAUUUGCAAACAAAGUUGAUAGUGGGGAAGCAUCUGAGAAAAUCUGUACCAAUGGGUAGGAUUUGAUGAAUCCCAUAGGAAUUUUAUAAAGCCAGGUCCCUCCGUUGCCUUUCCUCGUCCCCCUGGAAGCCGGCCCUCCCCUUACACCUGGAUGGGCAGGUCCCAUCUCAGCCAGGUUGGCUUCCUGGGAUGUUCAGGUUAAUGAUGCCCACAGGGCAGGAAUUUUCAUUGUGCUGCUGCCCUCUUAUUCUAUACACCUAGUGCCAGGGUUUCACCCCCUCAUACACCCUCACCCAGCUGGUCUGGAUCCUUUGCCAGGCUGAUCUCUCCAUCUUCACUGAAUUGCCAAGGCUUCUCUUAUCCCACUAUGUCCUUGGUUUCCCUCCUGGCCAGAUGCCAUUCCCUAAAGACUGGUACUCUCUUCCUGCUUCCUCUGGUUCUCUGGCUCUACGCCUGGAAAUCCAGGACAGGAAAGAGGCUUGUGGGGACUGAGCCCAGCAGUUUAGCGAGCAUCCCUGGCUACUUUCAGUCCCCUUUUUCCCCACCCCAACAUCAGCACUCAUCCCUCUCCCCAGUGCACAGCUGAGGGCACAGACUCUCAGCUAGGACCCCAUUCCCCCUUCUACCACUGCUUUGAGUGAGAUCACAAAGUCCGCCAGCCCCAAAGGAGCAGGAGUGUAUGGAGAGGAAACCACCUUCCUUGACCUGGCCACCAGCUGUUUUCUAGAGGCUCCCGGCUUAGGUCUUGCCCUUGCUCCUCUCUGUGAUGUGUAUAGCACAAGGUGUAUAUAUGUUUUGUAUCUUCUCGGACAACUGUACAUAGUGUAAGAAAGUUAUUUAAACCUCACGCUGUACAUUUUUGUUUUCAACCUAGAUGUGUUGGUUCCCAGGAGGUCUUCGUAAAUAAAGCCAAAAUGGCCAUUGUUUGUGGACA